CAAAGAUGACAGUGUGACAUUUGUUACAACUACUGCGAAUUACACAGUUGUCCCAGUUUUUAGGGAUGUGAAGCUUGAACCCUUUGUUUCCACAAACAGCAGUGAUGACUUUGGAAGUGACAAAUUCCCCUGCCCCCAGGAUACCCCUACAACGGCAUCACCAACAAAACCCUCAGGCAACAACGACAUUGUCCCAAUAGCAGUUGGAUGUGCUCUGGCAGGGCUAGUGCUUAUCGUCCUCAUUGCUUAUAUCAUUGGCCGUCGCAAGAGUCACCGUGGCUAUGAGAAAGUUUAGAGUGGAGAUGAGGUGUACAGUCUCUGCCAGUCUUAAAUUGUUUAAGCCUUAGUCUUGGAUUUUCAAAUAAGGUUGGCGGUGUCACGGCAAGUCUCAGAUGUUAUCAUUCAUCACUCCUAAUAGAUGUGUCAGGUUCACCUACAUACUGUUAGCCUUUUGAAUAAAAGGUCAAAAUAUUAUGUCAAAGUGUUUAGAUAGAUGUGUGUACAGUGUUGUUAAGAAUACUUAAUUAAUGUUAAUUGUCCUCAUUAUAAUCGAAUGUAUUUUUCUUUUGUUUUUAAAUAAAUCUAAGUACACUUUUGGUACAGAAUAAAAAAAAAAAUUGAUCAAUUCUUUGCAUAACCAGUGUUCCUAAAUAUUAAGCAUUUGCAUUGUAUCACAAGCAAUGAGCUUGGGGGUACCAAGUACUUGAGCAGUUUUUGAAACUAUGCAAAUUAGUUAGGCUAAACAUUGAUGGUUGGUUUUGUCAGCUGAAAUUUUGUUAAGACCUAAAUUUUCAGUGUGGAACCUCUGGGGGCAAUCUAGCAGUAUAAGUGGGAGAAAUUUUCCAAUCUCAUCAUUUUCUCAUUGUUGUGCAGUAGCUGCCUAGAUUUGCAUUCCAGUAAUCAACCUUACAGAGAAUUUAAAGCAAGUGAAGUGUUCAGCAGAGAUAAACAGGUUUAUAAUGAAUCAGUCUUGUUAAACACUUGCAAACUUCUUAUGUAGUUCCUGCUGUAACAGGGUUCUCAAUGGAAAGUGACAACAGGAUGAUUUCCACUGUCCUUUUGACAAGACAGAUGUGACCAUCUGUUCUGGCAUAUUUGCGUGCCAAAUGGAGGUUUUUGUUUAUUUAGCAACAGGCACGAGGGUAAUGAUUAUUGCUGGUAACAGAGUGACUUUUAAGGCUUGUUCUUCAGUGUUAUGGUCUGAUUUGUUGUCAAGUAGCUGGUAUUCUAUAGUGUUAAAGAUUAACUCGGGGGUUACCUUCUAUAGUUGUUAGGUUGAGAUUUCGGAUUUUGGAUCCAGGUAACCAGUGUAGUUCCCAAGCAAACCGAAUGUUUCCCUCUACGGACUGUGACACUAACUUUUUUUCACAUCAAAACAAUGUAAUAAUGCUACAGUACUUAAAACAUAAUCAUCGUUUUAGUUGUUGAUUUGCAUGAUCUUGCAACCUUUUUGACGUUUAAAGACAAUAAAGAAAAGAUUGUAAACAUGA